rnacentral:snoRNA from 11 species
AGAGCACCCCAAACAGGUUCUUGCCUCUUUUCAUAGGCUUGGAUUUGGUAGCUGGUGCUUACAUUAAAACUCUCCAUUGUAAUCUGCAGUCAGGCUAUUGCUUGUCUGUGUUACAGUUGUGGAGAAACAA